rnacentral:lncRNA from 1 species
ACUACAAAACCCAACUUUUUAAAUUCCUUGUAACUUGGAUAUAAUUCUUGGUUAGCCUUUUCAACCAAUUUAUAAAAUUUUUUUGACUUCAACAUUAGGCUUCUCUAUAUGCUAGUUAGUUGGAUUUUCUACCACACUAUCUAGAUUAGCAUUAGAAAUAUAUAUUAUAGCAUCCCAUAUAUAUCAUCAGAUUGAUUUGAUUCAUUCCAAUCA